CCUACGGGAUGCAGCAGUGAGGAAUAUUGGUCAAUGGGCGGAAGCCUGAACCAGCCAAGUAGCGUGCAGGAUGACGGCCCUACGGGUUGUAAACUGCUUUUAUCCGGGAAUAACGCGCCUUACGUGUAGGGCUUUGCAUGUACCGUAUGAAUAAGGACCGGCUCAUUCCGUGCCCGCAGCCGCGGUAAUACGGCAGGUCCGGGCGUUAUCCGGAUUUUUUGGGUUUACAGGGAGCGUAGGCCGCAUGUCAAGCGUGCUGUGAAAUGUCCGGGCUGAACCCGGGCCGUGCAGCGCGAACUGGCGUGCUUGAGUCCGCGGAAAGCAGGCGGAAUGCGGGGUGUAGCGGUGAAAUGCUUAGAUAUGACGAAGAACCCCGAUUGCGAAGGCAGCUUGCUGCAGCGGAACUGACGCUGAUGCUCGAAAGCGCGGGUAUCGAACAGGAUUAGAUACCCGAGUAGUC
rnacentral:rRNA from 1 species